rnacentral:rRNA from 1 species
UACGAAGGGUGCAAGCGUUACUCGGAAUUACUGGGCGUAAAGCGUGCGUAGGUGGUUUGUUAAGUCUGUUGUGAAAGCCCCGGGCUCAACCUGGGAAUGGCAAUGGAUACUGGCAGGCUAGAGUGCGGUAGAGGGUAGUGGAAUUCCCGGUGUAAGCGGUGAAAUGCGUAGAGAUCGGGAGGAACACCAGUGGCGAAGGCGGCUACCUGGACCAGCACUGACACUGAGGCACGAAGCGUGGGUAGCAAACAGG